UACGGAGGGUGCGAGCGUUGUUCGGAUUCAUUGGGCGUAAAGGGUGCGUAGGCGGCGCGGUAAGUCGGGUGUGAAAUCUUGGAGCUUAACUCCGAAACUGCAUUCGAUACUGCCGUGCUUGAGGACUGGAGAGGAGACUGGAAUUUACGGUGUAGCGGUGAAAUGCGUAGAUAUCGUAAGGAAGACCAGUGGCGAAGGCGGGUCUCUGGGCCGGUACUGACGCUAAGGAGCGAAAGCGUGGGGAGCGAACAGG
rnacentral:rRNA from 1 species